rnacentral:rRNA from 1 species
UACGUAGGGUGCAAGCGUUGUCCGGAAUUAUUGGGCGUAAAGAGCUCGUAGGCGGUUUGUCGCGUCUGCUGUGAAAACGCGAGGCUCAACCUCGCGCCUGCAGUGGGUACGGGCAGACUAGAGUGUGGUAGGGGAGAUUGGAAUUCCUGGUGGUAGCGUGGAAUGCGCAGAUAUCAGGAGGAACACCGAUGGCGAAGGCAGAGUCUCGGGCCAUACUGACGUGAGGAGCGAAAGCCGUGGGGAGC